AUGACAGACCAACGUUGCUUUCUACAUUCUCUCUCUACCUGCAAGUCAAAAUAUGUCCAAAAACCCUAACUUUCCUUUCAAAUUUCAAAUGCCUUUUUUUCAUUUUCGUUCUCUCUCUCCCCCUCAAAUCCGGAUCCAAAUGAAAUUUUCGUUCUCUCUCUCCAAGCGAUUUUGUAGAUUGUAGAUCCAGGGUUUCGGGCAUCUUCAAGGUGGGUUUAUGGCAUUUUCAGAUCUCACAAAACUUCAUCAUCAAGAAUAUCAUUCAAGAUCUCUCACCAGAUGCCGUUUCAUGACCAGAUCUGUGAUUAUUUGUGAUUUAUGAUAGAUGUUAUUUGUGGUGUUAUUAUUGUUUGUAUACAUAUGGUCCUCCACCGUAAUGCCGUCGUCAUCACUAUCCACUUCAAACCCUCUGUUUAUUAUGGCUGGUUCAGGCCCCUGUUGUGAUUCUGGUUUACAGUUUCUUUCGGAAAGAUAAGAAUCAGAGCUCGAUAAUUCAUCGUUUUUGUUAUGUUCGUUCGAGUGAGUUAUCAAAAUUCAUAUGUAAACUUGAUUGUAUAUUUUUUAAAAUGUUACACUGCAGUACUUGAAAGCUGUAGCUAGAGGUUUAUUGGGGCUUCCGGUUGGUUAUAGCUGUGCAUCUACAGUCCCAGGGAAUGGUUCAAGUCUCAGGUGGAGCUCUGUGAGGAGAUAUAAAACAGGAGAUUAGUUGCCAGUCGUUGGCGCUGACAUGGAGCGAGAAGGCAGCGGCGGAGGCAGUUGCAGCAGCCUCAUGCUCCGGCCAUGGUAGAGCUUUUGUUCACCAUUUGACUUCUGAUGGUCAACCAGUUUGUGAGUGCUUUAAUUGUUAUAACGGAUCUGAUUGCUCUCUAUAUUCUCGUGAAUGUGAUGCAGUUACCACAAGUGGGAAUCUUACAUUUGCGGAGCCAUUUUGGAUUCAAAAUGUAGCUAAUACUGCAGUCGUCAUAUCGGGAUGGCAUCGUAUGGGUUACAACAUCGCUGGUGUGAGGUUAUUCGUAGUGAGUCAUAGUCGGUGACAGUUACGGCGCCGGAGUGGUGACAGUUGUUCGAAUUGGUCAUCGUCUAACGUGGUGGUGAGGCGACUUCUGUUGAAGAUUUGGGGACAGGGCCAACUUGAUGCGUGUAAGAAGCCUGUGUGGAAUGGCUGCAGCUUGGCUUGCGCUCGGUGAGUGAACUAAACCGACACUUAAGUCGUCUUAGUCGCAGUCAUUAAAAGCGCUUUCUGAUGGUGCAUCACUCCCUGCAAUACAGGUUGUAGUUUUACUUUAGUAUUCUAAUUGAUUGUUUUACCUUUGGGAUUUGGAAAAUUGAAUACAUUGAAUACGUUUACUUGUGUAUAUAGAUGAAAAUUUGAAUUAAAAUAUGUAUGUGCAUAGUUGCAGAUGUAUAAUUUAAGAUAUGUAUUAUAUUGCUCA